ensembl:snoRNA
AGUCCCUCCAAUGGGAUAUUAGCCUUAAAAAGGAAGGAAUGGUGCCCAUCUUAUAUCAGCCAGGGACAAAGCCACCCCUUGUUUAUCCUGGGUUGGCUUUUGGUCUGUGCCCAUGCCUUGUUCGUGACUUGGACACAUGG